rnacentral:tRNA from 1 species
GGUUCCAUGGCUCAGUUGGUUAGCGCGUGGUGCUAAUAUCAUCCAGAUGUUUACGCCAAGGUCGAGGGUUCGACCCCCUCUGGAACCA